rfam:Triticum urartu cultivar G1812 contig937272, whole genome shotgun sequence.
ACUCUCUUCUCUCCGUCCGGAAAUAUUUAUCCUAAAAAUGAAUAAAAUGGAUGUAUCUAUAACUAAAAUAAGUCUAGAUACAAUAAUUUUCAAGACAAGUAUUUCCGGACAGAGGGAAUACGUG